rnacentral:rRNA from 1 species
ACCCGCUGAACUUAAGCAUAUCAAUAAGCGGAGGAAAAGAAACCAACAGGGAUUGCCCCAGUAACGGCGAGUGAAGCGGCAAGAGCUCAAAUUUGAAAUCUGGCCUCCUCCGGGGGUCCGAGUUGUAAUUUGCAGAGGAUGCUUCGGGUGCGGCCCCCGUCUAAGUUCCUUGGAACAGGACGUCAGAGAGGGUGAGAAUCCCGUCUUGGGCGGGCGGCCCGCGCCCGUGUGAAGCUCCUUCGACGAGUCGAGUUGUUUGGGAAUGCAGCUCUAAGCGGGUGGUAAAUUUCAUCUAAAGCUAAAUACUGGCCGGAGACCGAUAGCGCACAAGUAGAGUGAUCGAAAGGUUAAAAGCACCUUGAAAAGGGAGUUAAACAGCACGUGAAAUUGUUGAAAGGGAAGCGCUUGCGGCCAGACUCGGGGGCGGGGUUCAGCGGGCGCUCGUCGCCCGUGCACUCCCCGCGCCCCGGGCCAGCAUCAGUUUCGACGGCCGGUCAAAGGCCCCCGGAAUGUGUCGUCUCUAGGGACGUCUUAUAGCCGGGGGUGCAAUGCGGCCCGUCGGGACUGAGGAACGCG